AGAGCAACGGUAGCACAGGGUUUCCGCACCAGCUGGCGCACCUCUGCUGUGACUGUAUCCAGGGCAUCCCGUCUCCUUGCUUCUUCCUUAAUGAGGACAGACAUUGGCCAUAGAGUUCACUGAGCAGCAGGUGGCUGCUGACAGUAGCAGAGACUGAAAGCGGAACCAGGGAGUAGUGUAAAGUUUUUGGAAGAGUGAAUUGAGGAUUUUAGCUCUCUACAAGCAACAGCAGUAGCUAUGAAGCAGGGGGGAUGGUCCAGUCUUACUCCCCGCAGAAAUAUCAUCCAUGGCAACAUGUCCCCAAAACAUUUGAGGAGGGAACACUUUGUAACUAAUAGGAUAUCAAGGGAGCACCAGAAAUAACAUUGGUAAACUAUAUCUGCUGGAUUAACAUUUUAAACAAUGAAUGCCUAGGAGCAUCACACAGAGCGCGUUUUCCCAGAAAUGCACAUUGGGAUUUAAGGAGGAUCUGGCUGCAGUUAGCUAUCAUCCCAUUGAUCACCAUGCUUAAUUCAGCUGCUUUAGAUGACCGGGUGAGUGUGCCCUUCAUCUGCCAUUCCUUGUGCAUCUUCUUCCUGAAACAGAUUGCUCAGUUGAUGAAGACAACCUUUGUUGGUAGGGGAAGGCCAUUCUGUCAUCAGUAAAAAGCAGCUGUGCUCUCCUGCUAGAAUCUCCAAAGAAACCCACAAGAAAUGCACUGAGCUGUGCUUUCAUAAGUGAUGGGCAGCUGUGACAUGUUGAUACUAUGAGACUAUGAUACUAAGUAAUACUGUAGCUCAUUGAGUUACAUUUUGUGCUGUAUGUGUAGACAUUACUUGGAUCAACGAGGCUGAGUUGUAGGCAAAGCUCUCCCAGAGAGCAGGGAAACUCUUUGUCAGUGGGCGCUCCCAUUUUCCUUACUUCUCUGUCAAUGUCUGUAAGUAGCAGUUCCCACUCAGAGCACAUCCAGGCUGUUCUUGGUCCAGGAUGGCUUCCGGAGAAGACCAGAAAUGUCAUGAUGGGGGGGGGGGGGGCUAGAUGUUUCUGUCCUUGGUUGUAUUGAAUGCUGUGAUCUCACAGAAGCAAUGAGAUUUUCAUUAGCCUAAUCAAUAAUGCAGUUUGGAAGAGUAAGAACUCAUUCCCUUGGCAGCAGGGCAGAAGGCACCUGCUGUACAGAGAAGACCUAGGGAGCAAGCCAGUGCCCUCCACAGCCUCUACAUCAGCUUCUGUUUCCAAAUUCCUAUGCUGUUUGAGUUCCUGUCUUGAACUGCUUCAAUGAUGAACAGUGAUAUGGAAGUGUAAGCCAAAUAAACCCUUUCCUCCCCAAGUUGCUUUGGUCCCGGUGUUCCAUCACAGCAAUAGUAACCUUAACUUAGAAAUUAUCUUAAUUCUCUUUAAAGAAAAUAAUGAAAUUAAACAACCCCUAUAUCAACACUUUGUUGCUUUAAGAAAAACUUUAAAACUAUCUUUAUCAACGCCAGCAUGCAGGUCUAAGGUAGUCAGUGCACUUAGCUUAACUUAAGAAAGGUAAAUUGCAUAUUCAAUAUGAAAGUUUUGAAUAAAAAAUGUAUUGAUAAAAAUAGAAACCAUUUCACUGUUCAUACUCCUUUUGUUAAAAAAAAAAAGGGGGAGGGGGACCAGAAGUCAGUAAGGGUGCACUGUGGCUAUCUUAAAGUUUCCUACUAACUCUUAAUACAAACAUUUCAAGAGGUUAUUUUUCAGGGCUAUUUUUUAUUUAUUUAUUUAUUUUGGACACAGUUGCCCUUUAAGGGAAGUUAAAAGGACUGUCAGUCAAUCUGCCAGUCUCUCCUGAGCAUGUAAAUGUGUCUCUGCCAUGCUGUGAUUCUCACCAGGAAAGAACUGCAGGAGAGGACGGACAAUACAGAAGCAAACCAAACCUUUGUGUCACUGGAAGCUCCAGUCUGCUUCCUUUGCUUCCGUUGCUCUUUUCUAAUUUUUGUUUGUUUGUUUGUUUAAAAAAAAAACUUUUUAUUGACUCUUUGAGAAUUUCACAUCAUGUUCCCCAGUCCCACUCAGCUUCCCAUCCCUUUAUAUCCACCCUCUGCUCUUGCAACCUCUCCCCC
rnacentral:lncRNA from 1 species